rnacentral:rRNA from 1 species
GAGAGUUUGAUCCUGGCUCAGAUUGAACGCUGGCGGCGUGCUUAACACAUGCAAGUCGAGCGAGAAAGUUCUCUUCGGAGAAUGAGUAGAGCGGCGCACGGGUGAGUAACGCGUGGAUAAUCUGCCCCGAAGAUCGGGAUAACAGUUGGAAACGACUGCUAAUACCGAAUGUUCUGCAUAUUUAACUUUAUGUGGUAAAGAUGGCCUCUAUUUAUAAGCUAUCGCUUUGGGAUGAGUCCGCGUCUCAUUAGAUAGUUGGUGGGGUAAUGGCCUACCAAGUCAACGAUGAGUAGCUGGUCUGAGAGGAUGAUCAGCCACACUGGGACUGAAACACGGCCCAGACUCCUACGGGAGGCAGCAGUGGGGAAUAUUGCGCAAUGGGGGAAACCCUGACGCAGCGACGCCGCGUGCGGGAAGAAGGCCUUCGGGUCGUAAACCGCUGUCAGGAGGGAAGAAACUGUUGGAGUCGAAUAGGCUCUUUCACUGACGGUACCUCCAGAGAGC